rnacentral:lncRNA from 1 species
CGUGGUUUGAUGUGCUUUCGCGAAAUAGUGUAUAAGAAGUGUCCAUGUUAGCCUAUUCAUUUGAUCUUCACGAUUACAGUUUAUCUACCUUAAGGAGGCUCGGAGGUUAAAAUAUUUUAGAAAAGAAUUAAUCAUUUUUCGUCUUUAUUACAAAUUUUAUUUAUUACUUUAUAAGUUGUUACUUUAUCAAUAUGGUACAAAAG